rnacentral:tRNA from 1 species
AGUAGGGUAAGCUAAGUGACAAGCUUUGGGCUCAUACCCCAAAAAAUGGAAGGAUAGAAACCUCCCCCCUACUU